rnacentral:rRNA from 1 species
UACGUAGGGUGCGAGCGUUGUCCGGAAUUAUUGGGCGUAAAGAGCUCGUAGGCGGUUUGUCGCGUCGACUGUGAAAACCUACAGCUUAACUGUGGGCUUGCAGUCGAUACGGGCAGACUUGAGUUCGGUAGGGGAGACUGGAAUUCCUGGUGUAGCGGUGAAAUGCGCAGAUAUCAGGAGGAACACCGAUGGCGAAGGCAGAUCUCUGGGCCGUAACUGACGCUGAGGAGCGAAAGCAUGGGGAGCGAACAGG